GCCGGGGUAGCUCAGCUGGGAGAGCAACAGACUGAAGCACUAUGCAUUCUGGAGGUCCCGUGUUCAAUCCACGGUCCUGGCA